rnacentral:lncRNA from 1 species
AGUAAGGAAACAAGCACACACGAAGCUUGUGAUUGUCAUGUGCCAGAUACUGAAGAAGCUAGGUAAGCAGACAGGUGUAAGUCAUGUGAUUAAAUACUGAGCAAACAAGCUGGUGGAAGACAUGAGUCUGGUCCAAAAUUAAUUAGGCAGCUGGUCGAUCAUUUAAAUAAUUUUUCAACCAAAUAUUCCUUGUCUUUGUCUCUCGUCUUGUUCCCGGAAAAUCUCUUCCAGCUUAAUAAAAAUCCGAC